AUGUGAUUAAAACAAUGUGUAUAUGUUAAUGUAUGUAUGUAGAACAUUCAUGAAAGAAAAUAAAUGCAUUUUUUAAUAUUCAUAAAAAAUAUGGCAAGUAAAUAGAAAAAUGGAAUGCAUCAUCAAAAAAAAAAAAAAAACCAAAAAACAUUCUUUUAAAUGCACAUUAUACUGUAAUUAUAAAUAUAUAUAUAUUUCAAAAUAAAAUGAAGCAACUGCUUAAGAAACAUUUUGCAUAUUGAAACAAGACCCUCAUUUCUCGUUGUGCCGUCCUCUGCCCCUCUCCCCUCUCUCUGCAGGUGCAUGAGCAAUUUAAUGAGAUGCAAAUGAGGUAUGCAUACAGCCAAUCUCAUGUGCCAUGAUUAAGCUCAGGAUAUUAAUGAAUUCUCUCUCUGUCUCUCACUUGCUCUUUUUCUCUCUUUACAUCUAGUAAAUCCCAUCUUCGUCUCUGUCACUCCAUUGCAGGACUACUGCAGCAGAAAUAGCUACAAGAAAGAGAGAGAGAAAAAAAACCGUUUGCCAUGUGUCUUGGUACAUGGUGCAUUGAGGAGAAAGAUCCUUUCAGAAUUCUGUGCAGUUUCUUGCAACCCCCCACCCCCCACCUCCACUCUUGCCAUAUUCCCUCUUCCUUUGACGCUCCCCUUUUGUGUUAGUGUCUGUGUGUGUGUGUGUGUGUGUGUGUGUGUGUGUGUGCGCAUGCAGUUUUUUUGGGCAUAAUCCAUUUACAUAAUAAAGAUGAGGUAAAAUUAAGAUCCCCACAGGAGUAAAGAAGAGAAUCCCAGCGAUACAAACCUCAUUAAUACAGCGUGAUUAGCAUAUCCGUACACAAUUGUCCACAAUCGGUACAAAGAAAGACGUAAAAGCGAAAAAAAGCCCCGCAAAUUAAUCGGCUCAUUUCAUGAGGUUGUUAAUGUCUAAUUUGAACUUGUUUAUCGAAGGUUAUGCUGAAAACAAUGCCCGUUUCGGAACCAAUCCUGCGUCGCUUUAACGAGAACAAUGCCAAUGAAAGAUUCGAAGCACAAAGGUGUGUAAAUCCCUUCCUUCAGAAAGCACCAGAAGGAAGAGGAGGAGAGACAAUCUGCAUUAUUUAUGCUCCUCUACAAUGUCAAACACAUCCAGUGAGGGACUGAAUUCUCCACUCACUCUCAUUACCUUCUCUCUGACUCAACAGGAAGUUUUGAGGAUCCUCAGAACAGGUAUUCAAGCACAAAAUCACUCAUUACUGCAUAUAUGAUGGUUUAAGGUCCUGUCCUUGCAUUUGGAAAGCUCUAGUAGGUCCAUAAAAUUGCAAAAGUAGUGCAUCCUCCUGGUAAAUUUCACCAUACUAACACCCGCCAACAUGUAUCCUUUUGGUGUUCCCGACGUACCAGAGAAAAUUCACUCUUGCUUGUGUUCAUUUGUGCAAACCAUUCUGUUUUGUUUUUGUAGUACAUAAAAUCCAUAUUCCAUAAUGACUUUAGUGUUUGAAUUGAUCUGUUGAGUCACUGUAUGGUAAGUCAAGGCCUGUGGUUUCUUUAGCUUCUUCCUGUUUGCUUGUUUCCACACUUGUUUCCUCAAUCUUCUGUCUUGUCCAAAAUUUGAAACAAACUUGUUUUUGAAUGACAGUUUCUUGAUGUUUUCCUUUUCAUUCCAUUUAUCCUUUUACAAACCUUGUUGAAUGUAAAGUGCCAUUGGCACAGGGUUGGCAGAGUUACUGAUGGCAUCCGAUGACAUUCCAUCAGUCUGGGUUGCUCAUCACUUUUGUUCUCACAAGUGUUCCUGCCAUAUUCCUCCUCACCAAAUCUGUCACACUAAUUAACCCAACAAACUCUGUGAGUGUUAAUUAAGCUGUCGGAUCACUGUGUUUUUCAAUCUUGUUUUGUGUUUCGUCCCUAGGGCUCUUUGUCUUUGCCAAGUGACAUGCGUCAGGGGCUGGUUACCGCAGGAACGUGCUGGCACUCUGCCAUUUCCAAGCCACCGCCAACUUCCCAGCGGCAUACUGCAGUGCAGAGAUCCUGGCACACUGCCGAAGGUUGGCGCGUGCCAACGAGAGUAACAAGACAUGUCGCAUAUCUCCAUUAUGACUGAGCAGAUGCCAUCGUACCCGCGUUGAGUGGCAUCGACUUUGGGGCAUCUGCUGCUUACUCUCUAGGGGAUGUGCCUACUUAGAGCCUGGCACGGUCACGAAGGAGACAGCGGAACGCAGGAUGGCGAAGCCUGUGGGAAAUAACAUUACGAGGAUAAAAGGUUCGUUAAGAGGUUCCGUUUUGCAUACUCACACAGUUGCCAUGCUGACGAGCUGGCGGAUGGAUCUUCAAAGGGCUCCAACUUUUUGAAUCCAGUGCUCGGGAACAUUUCGUUUGGAGGAUG
ensembl:lncRNA